AUGCAGUGGCAACCGAUUUGGGCAACUAGCUGUCAUCAAUUAUGGAAAUGGAGGAAUCAGAGAACUUAUGAUCCAGACUAUGUCAAUCCAAGUAACAAAGUGGAAAGCAUCAAGGGUGCAGUAAAGAACUAUCAUCUUAACAUGAUGCUGCAGAAAAAAAUUCAUCAUAAGCCCUUAGUUCCCAGCACUACUGAAUGGAAAAAUCCAGAUAGAAAUUGGGUUUGUAUUAAUACUCAUGGUGUUGUUAACAAAAAUAAAUUAGCUGGUUCUGGAGGCAUAGCCAGGAAAAUUCAAUGGGAGGUUAACAAGUAUGCGAAUACUCUACAGUAUAGUCUUAAUCUUUAA